GACUUUUAGACCUACUGUCGUGUUGGAUUACCAUUACUAUCAGAUAGUAAUUGCAAAAUUCUUUGUGUGUGUGUGUGUGUUUUUGCAGGUAAGACUUAUUUAACAGAGAGUGUGUAGAAAGCUCCUGUAUGUGUUUUGUCCAAGCUCUCUCCUUUCGCCUCGCGGGACGUGGUGGUGUACAGACAAGCUGCUGCGGAGAGGCGGUGAGGAUUUGCCCUGAUGCAUUCAAGUGUUCGGAGUAUCAGAAGUCCCGGUGAAUCCUAAGCUACCUACGGCAGUGGGCACUUUCUGCCCUCAGUGGAACCAGGAUUUUCCUGCCAUGUACAUUUGCUGCCCGGACAGCAUGUAAACCUUUCUCUGCCUGUGUGAUCACACAUGUCAGGCUUCACGGAGCAGCAUAACUUUUGAUUAGACUCCAGGCAAUUCCUUAGCUUUUGAAGAGAAUGGAUGCAAGACAACACUGAGGCAUGGUAUGGGGAAAUACCUACCCCCGGCAGGCUGGAUUUGGAGCCUCUGCUCAGGCUGUGACGGCCACGUUACUCCAUGCUCAGUGCCACCGUGACUGCCAGACUGUCGGCGUGAGUAAGAGAAUCUAGUUAACAGCAGUAGUAUGCACUUCGGUUUUCCCUGUCAGAGGUUAUAUCUGGUGACUGGAACAAUGAGACUAACCUCGGUUUUACAGUAACAAAGCAGCUCUGACUUUUCUGGGUAAAGUCUAUUUUGACUGACACACAAGUAGCUGUAGCUUUGCCGCACAAUGGAGAAAAUGACUUCAUUUAACAGCUUUCUGUGCCAAGAAAGAAAUAAAACAGUUCUGAGAAUGUUGAAGAUUUUUUUUUUCUGUUUUAAUUUUAAACCUGAA